AUGUCAGUUUUUGGAAUAUAUACUUUGGGGGUAUUUGGGUAAAGUGUGACAUG
rnacentral:tRNA from 1 species